UUUCUGAUCAACGGCCAUCUUGUUUUGUGGAAGACCUCGGCUGAUAAACAAUAAAACUGGAAAGAGAUUUUUGUGACAACUUUGCAUGUUAUUACAUCACAAAAACUCAUGCCUGCUGGAUUAAUAUGCAUUUGAGGAGAUACAAAAGGUGAUUCCAAAGCAAUACGUACAUAUAUGAGGAAAAACAGACAACUUGGAGAAGGAAACUGAGGUUACUCUUCAACACACUGCAGUUCUCCGUGGCAUUCCUGUCCAGCUUGGGCACAACACGGAGAGGAAAAGUCUUGCGUGUUUAUUUUCAUGUUUUCUCUUGAUUCAGCUAUUGUGUUUACUUGAUGACACAAGUUGAAAUUGCAAUACAUGUCAAAGGAGUUAGACAGUAUGAGCAAAUGUUUUUGUUACUAUGCAAGUUAAAGUAUAUUGUGUGUGCAUUCUUUUUAUUGUUUUAAUGUGCUCAAAUGCUCUUUUGUUGGUUUUGAUUGCUUCUAUUGUCCUCAUUUGUAAGUCACUUUGGAUAAAAGCGUCUGCUAAAUGACUAAAUGUAAAAGUACAACUCUUAACAUUUAAUUUGGGAUUUUUUCUGAUUCAAGCAUUGUUAAUGAACAACUAUUUCCAUGUUGAUUUACAUUUGUUUUCUGCAUUUUGAAAAAUAAAUGUUUUGAAAUGUGAAUGGCCAGCUGUGUGUUUUUUUUAACUAGGUAUAGCUAUUCUCAGUGUUCCUCAGAUCACAGAUUCAAUUAAGUUAACUAAACUUAAAUGGCUUAAGUAAAUAGGACUUAAAAUAAGUAAAGAAUACUUUUAAUAUAUUAGUAAAUAAGACUUAAAUUACACUUAACCUUUUGAGCGGUACGGUCCCACAUAUGGGAUUUUUAUUUCCGUGCCCCUGGGAGUACAGUCCCACAUAUGGGAUUUAGAACGUUCGGUGACGUCGCAUAACUGCCAAAUUCAAACUGUGGUUUCGCGCGUUUACUGGCGCUGACUCAGAGAGAGAUGUGCA